rnacentral:rRNA from 1 species
GAUGAACGCUGGCGGCGUGCCUAAUACAUGCAAGUCGAGCGAACAGACGAGGAGCUUGCUCCUCUGACGUUAGCGGCGGACGGGUGAGUAACACGUGGAUAACCUACCUAUAAGACUGGGAUAACUUCGGGAAACCGGAGCUAAUACCGGAUAAUAUAUUGAACCGCAUGGUUCAAUAGUGAAAGACGGUUUUGCUGUCACUUAUAGAUGGAUCCGCGCCGCAUUAGCUAGUUGGUAAGGUAACGGCUUACCAAGGCAACGAUGCGUAGCCGACCUGAGAGGGUGAUCGGCCACACUGGAGCUGAGACACGGUCCAGAAUCCUACGGGAGGCAGCAGUAGGGAAUCUUCCGCCAUGGGCGAAAGCCUGACGGAGCAACGCCGCGUGAGUGAUGAAGGUCUUCGGAUCGUAAAACUCUGUUAUUAGGGAAGAACAAAUGUGUAAGUAACUAUGCACGUCUUGACGGUACCUAAUCAGAAAGCCACGGCUAACUACGUG